rnacentral:rRNA from 1 species
GAUGAACGCUGGCGGCGUGCCUAAUACAUGCAAGUCGAGCGAACAGACGAGGAGCUUGUUCCUCUGACGUUAGCGGCGGACGGGUGAGUAACACGUGGAUAACCUACCUAUAAGACUGGGAUAACUUCGGGAAACCGGAGCUAAUACCGGAUAAUAUCUUGAACCACAUGGUUCAAUAUUGAAAGACGGUUUUGCUGUCCCUAAUGGAUGUAUCCGCGCCGCAUUGGCUAGUUGGUAAGGUAACGGCUUACCAAGGCAACGAUGCGUAGCCGACCUGAGAGGGUGAUCGGCCACACUGGAACUGAGCCACGGUCCAGACUCCUACGGGAGGCAGCAGUAGGGAAUCUUCCGCAAUGGGCGAAAGCCUGACGGAGCAACGCCGCGUGAGUGAUGAAGGUCUUCGGAUCGUAAAACUCUGUUAUUAGGGAAGAACAAAUGUGUAAUUAACUAUGCACGUCGUGACGGUACCUAAUCAGAAAGCCACGGCUAACUACGUG